UGCGACGGCCGGGAAUCGAACCCGGGUCAACUGCUUGGAAGGCUAACCAUUAUACCACCGUCGC